rnacentral:miRNA from 1 species
CUGAGAAUGCUGGUGUGUCAC